GGGGGAAAAAUUAAUUAUUUAUAAAUAAUAAAAAGAUUUUUAACAAAAAUAUAUUUAAUGGGGGUUAAAGUAAUUUUUUGUGAAAAAAUUAAAAAUUUUAUAGUGAAAUAGUAUUGUAAAAGAAAUUUGAAAUAUGUGAAAAUAAAUUUAAUUAAAAGUAGAUUUUAUUUGUUGUAUCUUGUGUAUCAGAGUUUAUUAAAAAUAUUUUUUAGGGAAAAAUUUCUCGAAUUUGAAAGAGUUAAUUAUUUAUUAAAGUUAAUGUGGCAUAAUUAUUUUUAAUAAAUAAUUGGAAAUGAAAUGUUAAUCGUUUUCAAAUAUAUCUAGUUUUUUUAGAAAAAAAUUUAAUUUUAAAUAUUAAUAUAAAAAAUAUUAUUUUAUUUUAAUAAUUUUUGUUAAUAUUAAAUAUUUUAAGGGAUAAGCUUUAAAAUAAAAUUUUAUAAUAAGUUUGAUUUAAAUAAAAAUUUUAAGAUUUAUAUUGUUUAAAAAUUAUAAUUUUUUAUAAAUAAUUUUAUUUAAAUAAAAAAUUUAAUUUAAUAUUUAAUUUUUUAAAAAAAAAUAAUUUAAAAUUAAAUAAAAUUAAUUAUAAUGAUAAAAUUAGUAUAUAAAAAUAAAUAAUUAUAAUUAUAAAAUUAAAUUAAAUUAAUUAAAGGAAUUCGGCAAAUAUUUAUAUUCACUUGUUUAUCAAAAACAUGUCUUUUAGAAUUUAAUUUAAAGUCUGGUCUGCCCACUGAUUAAUAAAUUAAAGGGCUGCAGUAUUUUGACUGUACAAAGGUAGCAUAAUCAUUAGUCUCUUAAUUGGUGACUUGUAUGAAAGAUUUGAUGAGAUAUAAACUGUCUCUUAUUAAUUUAUAAAAUUUAAUUUUUUAGUUAAAAAGCUAAAAUAGAUUUAAAAGACGAGAAGACCCUAUAGAGUUUUAUAAUAAGUUUAAUUAGUAUUUUUUAUAAGUAUUUUAGUUUUGAUUAAAUAUAUUAUUUUGUUGGGGUGAUAGAAAAAUUAAAUUAACUUUUUUUUAAAAAUUAACAUCUAUAAAUGAUUAUAUGAUCCGUUAUUAACGAUUAAAAGAAUAAAUUACCUUAGGGAUAACAGCGUAAUUUUUUUUUUUAGUUCAAAUAAAAAAAAAAGUUUGCGACCUCGAUGUUGGAUUAAGAUAAAAUUUAAAUGCAAAAGUUUAAAAUUUUGAUCUGUUCGAUCAUUAAAAUCUUACAUGAUCUGAGUUCAAACCGGUGUGAGCCAGGUUGGUUUCUAUCUUUAAAAAAUUAUAAUAUUUUAGUACGAAAGGAUCAAAUAUUAAAAAUAAUUUUAAUAUAAGAAUAUUAAUAAAAAAAAAAUAAUUAUAAA
rnacentral:rRNA from 1 species